rnacentral:misc_RNA from 1 species
ACAAAUUAUUAAAAGACCAAUCCGAAAGGGUUGGAUCUUUUAAACACCUGUGAACUGUUAAUUGUCUCUGGUGGGUUAAAAUGUGAUGAACCUUGUGUUUAUGACAGGUCGGCUAUUAACUUAACCUACCACCCACCGCGUUAAACUACUGUCUUUAAAGUCGUCAUACUAUUUCAUUAAACUAAAUGAAAAAA